rnacentral:rRNA from 1 species
AUUGAACGCUGGCGGCAGGCCUAACACAUGCAAGUCGAGCGGAUGAAGGGAGCUUGUUCCUGGAUUCAGCGGCGGACGGGUGAGUAAUGCCUAGGAAUCUGCCUGGUCGUGGGGGAUAACGUCCGGAAACGGGCGCUAAUACCGCAUACGUCCUGAGGGAGAACGUGGGGGAUCUUCGGACCUCACGCUAUCAGAUGAGCCUAGGUCGGAUUAGCUAGUUGGUGGGGUAAAGGCCUACUAAGGCGACGAUCCGUAACUGGUCUGAGAGGGUGAUCAGUCACACUGGAACUGAGACACGGUCCAGACUCCUACGGGAGGCAGCAGUAGGGAAUAUUCGACAAUGGGCGAAAGCCUGAUCCAGCCAUGCCGCGUGAGUGAAGAAGGUCUUCGGAUUGUAAAGCACUUUAAGUUGGGAGGAAGGGCAGUAAGUUAAUACCUUGCUGUUUUGACGGUACCAACAGAAUAAGCACCGGCUAACUUCGUG